rnacentral:rRNA from 1 species
UACGUAGGGGGCAAGCGUUGUCCGGAAUUAUUGGGCGUAAAGAGCGUGUAGGCGGCCCGGUAAGUCCGCUGUGAAAGUCCAGGGCUCAACCCUGGGAUGCCGGUGGAUACUGUCGGGCUAGAGUGCGGAAGAGGCGAGUGGAAUUCCUGGUGUAGCGGUGAAAUGCGCAGAUAUCAGGAGGAACACCAAUUGCGAAGGCAGCUCGCUGGGACGUUACUGACGCUGAG